GACGAACGCUGGCGGCGUGCUUAACACAUGCAAGUCGAACGAGAGCGUAGAGAAAGCUUGCUUUUUCUACAAUCUAGUGGCAAACGGGUGAGUAACGCGUAAACAACCUGCCCUACGGAUGGGGACAACAGCUGGAAACGGCCGCUAAUACCGAAUACGUUCCGAAAGUCGCAUGACUAUCGGAAGAAAGGAUGGCCUCUAUUUAUAAGCUAUCGCCGGAGGAGGGGUUUGCGUCUGAUUAGCUAGUUGGAGGGGUAACGGCCCACCAAGGCGACGAUCAGUAGCCGGUCUGAGAGGAUGAACGGCCACAUUGGAACUGAGACACGGUCCAGACUCCUACGGGAGGCAGCAGUGGGGAAUCUUCCGCAAUGGGCGAAAGCCUGACGGAGCAACGCCGCGUGAGUGAAGACGGCCUUCGGGUUGUAAAGCUCUGUUAUACGGGACGAAUAAUCUUGUGGUUAAUACCCAUGAGAAGUGACGGUACCGUAAGAGAAAGCCACGGCUAACUACGUG
rnacentral:rRNA from 1 species